rnacentral:lncRNA from 1 species
AACUCAUGUGAAGAUCUUGAGCAAGAAUUUCUAUCAAAACUUUCGUUGUUAUUUCCCAUCCCAGUUUUUCUCAUAGGUCCUUUCCACAAGUAUUUUCCAGCUUCAUCCAGUAGUUUACUGCCUCAAGACAGGACCUGCAUAUCAUGGCUAGACAAACAACAACCCAACUCAGUGAUUUAUGUUAGCUUCGGAAGCGUAGCGGCUAUAGAAGAGGCUGACUUCUUGGAGGUACCUUGGGGACUGGCCAACAGCAUGCAGCCCUUUUUGUGGGUGGUUCGACCGGGGUUGGUCCAGGGCUCCGAAUGGCUUGAAAUUUUACCAAAUGGGUACUUGGAAAUGGUAGGGGAAAGAACCCACAUAGUGAAAUGGGC